rnacentral:rRNA from 1 species
GGGGAAUAUUGCGCAAUGGGGGCAACCCUGACGCAGCCAUGCCGCGUGAAUGAAGAAGGCCUUCGGGUUGUAAAGUUCUUUCGGUAGCGAGGAAGGCAUUUAGUUUAAUAGACUAGGUGAUUGACGUUAACUACAGAAGAAGCACCGGCUAACUCCGUGCCAGCAGCCGCGGUAAUACGGAGGGUGCGAGCGUUAAUCGGAAUAACUGGGCGUAAAGGGCACGCAGGCGGUGACUUAAGUGAGGUGUGAAAGCCCCGGGCUUAACCUGGGAAUUGCAUUUCAUACUGGGUCGCUAGAGUACUUUAGGGAGGGGUAGAAUUCCACGUGUAGCGGUGAAAUGCGUAGAGAUGUGGAGGAAUACCGAAGGCGAAGGCAGCCCCUUGGGAAAGUACUGACGCUCAUGUGCGAAAGCGUGGGGAGCAAACAGGAUUAGAUACCCUGGUAGUCCACGCUGUAAACGAUGUCGAUUUGGGGGUUGAGCUUUAAGCUUGGCGCCCGUAGCUAACGUGAUAAAUCGACCGCCUGGGGAGUACGGCCGCAAGGUUA